CCACUGUUGAGGGACAUAAACCACCGUGUAAGUGAGUCAAAGUAGGCCUCAUUUAAGAUACAGUUGUUAUAUUGUGUGGUUUAUGAUUUCAGUAUUCUCAAAUGUAAUAUACAGUAGGCCUACCUUUGGAAACGGUUGACUUAUUUUAUCUGUGUGGUGUAUUUGUGUGAAAUAUUGGGGUUUUGCAUAUCUGUCCUGCCUCACUGCUCCACAUACUUUUAAAACCCCAGUGUUGAUCAGUGACUGUUCACUCCUUUCASAGCCACUGACACGCAGCACAAUGAUGAUGUCACUGAUUCUACUGCUGGGGACACUGGGGCUCCUUGUUCAGGAAUCAUCAGCAGAUAUAAUUCUUACUCAGUCUCCUAAAUCUCAGUCUGUUCGCCCAGGAGAGUCUGUCUCUAUCAGCUGUACAGCCAGUUCAWGMACUGGUAAUGCGCUUAGCUGGUACCUYCAGAAACCUGGAGAAGRUCCUAAACUCCUSGUUUAUKKUGGUACAAKCCGUCAGUCUGGGAUUCCAGGUCGUUUCAGUGGGAGUGGAUCUGGUAGUUCAUAUACUCAUUACACUCUGACCAUCAGUGGAGUCCAGGCUGAAGAUGCAGCAGAUUACUACUGUCAGCAGGGUGMCAGCWRUCCGUUCACACAGUGUUAGAGCGCCGUACAAAAACCUCCUUCAGCUAAAGAGGAACUGCUCUGACUCAACASCUGCAGAGCUACAGAGUCUCCRGUAUUCUAGUAUUCUAAACACCAAUUCUUUUAAAUAUGACACAUACUGUACAUAWCGCUCAAUAUAUUCUGCAAACAUGUUAAAUCUUUGUAAACARACUGGGACCACUAAGGAUACAGAGCUGUAGAAAAMGCUUUCUUUUGAAGGACAUGUUAAGCAAAYUUCAGAAUAYGUUUAG